AGGCAGAGAUGUAGCCAAAGAUGACUUGCCAGUCGAAAUCGUUAAUCUCCGCUCUUAAAUUGUAAACUACAAAAAGUAGUCAUCAAGAAGCAGAAUUGGUCGAGCUUGCCGGCAAGUCAUCCUUGGCUGCAAUUCAAUAACCUCA
rfam:Capsicum annuum cultivar Zunla-1 chromosome 2, whole genome shotgun sequence